AUCUUGAGGCACUGAAGGAGCAUGGGGGGAGGGGAACGGAAAGGACAAAGAUUCUCCUAUCCUACCAACCCGUGUGAUGGACCCUGGACCACAAGAAGAGGAAGCAGUUAGGGGCAGUGGAGUCACCCUGGGGUUGACUGCACUCAUCAUCCACAGGAUGUGCACACUUACUUCACAGACACUCUUCUGCAGUCUCAAAAUCUCACCCAUCAACUAUGACCCCUCCUACCUGCUGCCCCAACAACAUAUUUAAUCAGCAGCUAACACUAUGUAGCCCCAGGGGGUUGCAGCGCCUGGGUUCUUAGGGGGAUCCCAGGUCCCCAAAAGGAGUUUAGAAUCCAAACUGAAGAGAGCAGACAAGCACAUGAGAAAUGCGAGUAAAACUAACCACAUCU
rnacentral:antisense_RNA from 1 species